rnacentral:rRNA from 1 species
CCGAAUGGGGCAACCCACCUGAUACUUUGUUAUAAUAGCCCUUCGGGGCUGCCUAUAAUGAGGUAAACCAGGUAUUUGUAGACUGAAUACAUAGGUUUACAAAAGCAAACCCGGGGAACUGAAACAUCUAAGUACCCGGAGGAAAGGAAAUCAACAGAUACUCCCCUAGUAGCGGCGAGCGAACGGGGACCAGCCGAGCCAUGAGUGUGAUUAGAAGUCGUUGGAAAGCGACACCAAAGUGGGUGACAGUCCCGUAUAAGAAGCAUGAUUGGACGUAUUAAGUAGGGCGGAACACGUGAAAUUCUGUCUGAACAUCGGAGGACCACCUUCGAAGGCUAAGUACUCCUUAC